rnacentral:lncRNA from 1 species
CCAAGGCUUACACCUGCCACUGAGAGCUUCAUCAGCCCUGGAGUCCGAAGGGAAGAGAAACAGUCAGUAGCCACUGGGCAUCCAGGAUGGGAGAAUACAGACCCUACAAACUGCAGCACAUCAGCCUUACUUACCAAAGAAGGUUGCAAUGACUGUGGCCCUCAUGAUGAGUGAAGAAAAAUCUGGAUGUGUCACUAAGGAGCACUGAAAAGGAAAAGAGGAGUUCACCAGGCUGCAUUUGGAGAAACCAAGAUUGCACACACUUAUUUCAGAAGCCAGGGUCAGGAGAGGGCAAGGUGGGCAUGGACAUGUUUUGACAUCUAUUCAAAUCUGUUCACUGCUCUUCUAAGAAAUAAUCAAAGAAUUGUCCUUUCUGCACAUCAAAGCGCACCAGAUUUCACCAACAGGAAUAGAAGAUGUAGACCACAGAAGACUGAGUUUCUGUCCCAAAUGACCACCUAUUUUGAGAUGCAGUUUGGUGGAAAGGCUUUCUCCAAAACAGGGUGCAAGCCUCAGUCACUGAAAAAUGAGCCCAAAGAGGAAAGGCAGCCCAAGGCAACCCAGCUAAGUCCUGCUAGAGAGGAGAACAGAGAAGAUGGCCAGAGAGAUGAGGAGGCAAUUUCCAGCCACCCAGGAGCUGACAACACAAAGAGCAGAAACAAGAGGUAGACCAUGUU